AAAUAUGAAGCAAUAAAUUGCAAUUAGUUUCGACCUAAUCGUUAGAUAAUAAACCUAUCCAUAUUUU
rnacentral:tRNA from 1 species